rnacentral:piRNA from 1 species
UCAAGUAAUGUUUUUUUCCGUACUCGA